CCUACGGGAGGCAGCAGUGAGGAAUAUUGGUCAAUGGACGAGAGCCUGAACCAGCCAAGUAGCGUGAGGGAUGACGGCCCUACGGGUUGUAAACCUCUUUUGUAUGGGAAUAACAUGCUCCACGUGUGGCGUUCUGUAUGUACCAUACGAAUAAGGAUCGGCUAACUCCGUGCCCGCAGCCGCGGUAAUACGGAGGGUCCGAGCGUUAUCCGGAUUUAUUGGGUUUAAAGGGAGCGUAGGGGGGUUGUAAAGUCAGUGGUAAAAGUUGGGGGCUCAACCGCACCCUGCAGUUGAAACUGGCAGUCUUGAGUACAAGAGAGGUAGGCGGAAUGCGUGGUGUAGCGGUGAAAUGCAUAGAUAUCACGAAGAACCCCGAUUGCGAAGGCAGCAUGCCGGAUUGCAACUGACGCUGAGGCUCGAAAGUGUGGGUAUCAAACAGGAUUAGAUACCCUGGUAGUC
rnacentral:rRNA from 1 species